rnacentral:rRNA from 1 species
AACGAACGCUGGCGGCAUGCCUAACACAUGCAAGUCGAACGAGACCUUCGGGUCUAGUGGCGCACGGGUGCGUAACGCGUGGGAACCUGCCCUUAGGUUCGGAAUAACUCCCCGAAAGGGGUGCUAAUACCGGAUAAUGUCUUCGGACCAAAGAUUUAUCGCCUUUGGAUGGGCCCGCGUUGGAUUAGCUAGUUGGUAGGGUAAAAGCCUACCAAGGCGACGAUCCAUAGCUGGUCUGAGAGGAUGAUCAGCCACACUGGGACUGAGACACGGCCCAGACUCCUACGGGAGGCAGCAGUGGGGAAUAUUGGACAAUGGGCGAAAGCAUGAUCCAGCAAGGACGCGUGAGUGAUGAAGGCCUUAGGGUUGUAAAGCUCUUUUACCCGGGAUGAUAAUGACAGUACCGGGAGAAUAAGCUCCGGCUAACUCCGUG